CCCGCUCCACAGCCAUUGCCUAGCCCCCACCUCUCCGUGGCCUUCCACCACCACCGCGCCGCCAUUGCCUAGCCCCCACCACUACGCCGCCCUGGACUCCCCCCACCACCACCGCGCCGCCAUGGCACCAAGGUCGGAAGCACCCAUGCAAAUCUGAGAUGCGGCGGUGCUUGCAAGCUCGGACGAUGUCGUUCGCGAACGGUGGCGCUCGUAAUUCCAUCCGCCCCACGGCCUCGUGCGACUCCGCGAGAUCCAGAUCUGGGCGGUAGCUGUCGUCCGCCGCGGGCUCCCUCAUGGUCGCGCUCACCUUCGCUACCUUGAUAAGUCGAUGUCAGGGGCGCGUCGUCACCAUGAUUCAGAAUCUGCAGGCCGUCACCAUGCACCAGGAUCUCGCCACCGUGCUCCGUGGAUCACCAACAUCGACUGAUGAUCACAGAUUCACAUGUGUCCUAAAAGAAGGCAGACGAUGGUCUAUUCUGCUACAAUUAUAGAGCAAAUUGAUGAACAUAUGAAACUUUCGCUAAACAAACAAACUUCGUCUUGAAGCCGAUCCAUCGCUGAACCGCCCUGCUGUUGCUGCAACAUUGACUGAAGAGAUGAGCAGUGAGCUGUAGUUGAACAAUCUGGAGCUGGGGAACUUCAACGACAAGAUCAAGAAGAACUAGGUGAAGAUCAACCUUAAGAACUAGCUAACAUUGCCAACAUUGUCUAGGUUCAUUCCUUGCUUUCUCAUAAGUUUAAGUGUCUGUUGUUAUCUGUGUUUGUUGGUUAGAAUGAUUCGGGCAUGUGUACUGUAGGAACCAUGGAUGUACUAU